GAAACGACCACAAGCCAGGACUGAAGAAGCCUUUGACGGUAUGAGGCUGAAAAUGACCUUUGUGCACUGAAGCUUAUGUGAGCAAAAGGGGGCUGGCAAAGCUGUGGAGUCUUAUUUUCAGAUACAGUCACAGAAGGGAAUGGAAAAAAAAAAGAAACUGUCAUAGGGUAGAGACAGAAGCCACAUACCGGUGGGGAGCCUUUGCUGCUUGUGCUCCGCAGGACUUCAGGAUUUAAAUGGGCUGAGACGUAUGUCCUGUUCCUCUCCUUUCUAAAAGACUGGAAAUGGCUCUGAAUUUAAAGUCAUUUCAGGACUCUAUGACACUUAGAGAAGAUGUCUUUUGAUUUUUCCCAUCUAACUAGAAAUUUCUGGCCUUCUUCAACCUUCAUGUAAUAGUGAAUUUAUUGAUACUGCAUUUGCAAGGUUGACGUUUCAUUUCUAAGAAAAGAAUGUUUACUACAAUUAGAUGAGAAGAGUCUCUUCUGGUCAAAGAAGAUCUCUUAAGAGUAGUUCACAUGGGGAAAAGAAAAAUGGAUCUGAGAACGCUGUCUGGGCUUGGUACCAAGAGCUGGUAUUUCACAGCAGCGACCGCCUCACAGACGAGCUGUGGGAAGCAGGAGGGAGACUCUCUCUUAGGGUGCCACUACUAUGGAGACACAGCUGGGCUGAACAAGAUUUGCUUCAAACGACAACAAGAGAGACAGAAAGUAUCUGGUUCAACCGCUGCCCGAGCAGGCAGGCACCAGAAGAGCUAGCAGCCAAUCCGGCCAUGCUCGAAGCCAGCUCUGCAGCUCAGCCAAUCAGUGACAUCAUUGCUUUCUUUAGCUUGCCCAUGGUGAUGUGAAGAUGAGAAGAAAUAGCAAGGCCCAACCAGUUCUUCAUCUGGAGACAGUUCAACGUUCUGCAAACCAGAUCUUCAGGAAUUUUACUGGGAUAAUUAUCCAAAUAAAUUGCAAGCAUUCUAUCCAAAUGGAGCUCUUUCUGAGAUGAAGAGAAUUCUCAAUGUCAAGAUUUGAACAAGAAGAGAAUGGAAUACACAAUAUGGACAUCCAUAAAAAUUCAUCAGAGAGCAUUUUACUACUGAGCUGCAAAGGGAAAAACUUAAAAUGGAUAUGAAAAGUGAAGAAAGUGAUCAUAGGAGAAAACCAUUUCAGAUGACAAGAGCACCUCAAAGGCAGCAGCCUCAAGGAGCAGCCAUGGCCCCAGACUUGUCGCACGGAUGCAGAAAACUUAAUGGAGGAGGCUGAGGAACUCUUCCAGACUCUGGGAAAUAUGUCUCCAAGAAAGCAGACAAUACCCCUGCCCUCUGUGGAAGACUGACAAAUAUACAAGUGCAUAUGUAUAUAUAGACUGUCAGAUGAUGUAAGUAUGAUGAAGAAAAUGAAAGCCAUGUAAUGGGUGAUGGAGCGGGGCAUAGAAAGGUGCCAUUUGCUAUUUUAUAGAAGUAGAUCAGGGAAGACCAUGUCAUGGUAGAUAUCUGAGCAGAGACCAUUCCAGGUGUGGGAGCAUGUCAGAGAGGUAUCCAGGGGCAACAGUUCCAGGCAGAGAAAGCAUG
ensembl:lncRNA MIR99AHG mir-99a-let-7c cluster host gene